CCCAGUUGCUCUCUUUAAUGGCCUUUAUCCUGCCCCUAAAAUGGUCCUUCCACUGCGUCCCUCAACCCCACUGAGCUGGCAAUUCCUUUCACAUCGUUCCCUGUCAAGGGUCAUCCCCACACUUCGCGCCCAGCGCUGACUGUGAGGACUGACCGCACGGUGGCGCUAGGGAUCGCAGUGGACAAAUCACUACUGCUGCAAUCAGGUGACUGCGCUAACCCGAGGCUCGGGACUCGCCCUGGUGUCAGGGGCUCAGUCCCAGCACUUGGGAAGUGAAGGCAGAAAGAUCGGAAGUGUGAGGUUAUCUUCAGUUACGAGAGUUCAAGGCUAACCUGGGCUACAAGAGACCCUGCUCGAAAUAACAUGGCGAUGAACGUCCUCCAGGCAGCUCUUCCUUACUUGACAUCCACAUCCAUCCUUCUGCAGAGGACAGUCCCAGGCAUCUAGCACAGCACACGACACAGACAACAAGGUAGGCCUGCCACCUGCCACCCCAGCUCAGUACUCCCAGGAAACAGCUAUGCCUGGUCGGUGGC
ensembl:lncRNA